rnacentral:rRNA from 1 species
UACGUAGGGUCCGAGCGUUGUCCGGAAUUAUUGGGCGUAAAGAGCUCGUAGGCGGUCUGUCGCGUCGGUCGUGAAAACUUGGGGCUUAACCCUGAGCUUGCGGUCGAUACGGGCAUGACUGGAGUUCGGCAGGGGAGACUGGAAUUCCUGGUGUAGCGGUGAAAUGCGCAGAGAUCUGGAGGAACACCGAUGGCGAAGGCAGCCUUCUGGGCCAACACUGACGCUCAUGCACGAAAGCGUGGGGAGCAAACAGG